rnacentral:rRNA from 1 species
CGGACGGGUGAGUAAUGUAUGGGGAUCUGCCUGAUGGCGGGGGAUAACUACUGGAAACGGUAGCUAAUACCGCAUAAUGUCUGCGGACCAAAGCGGGGGACCCCCGGGCCUCGCGCCAUCAGAUGAACCCAUAUGGGAUUAGCUUGUAGGUAAGGUAACGGCUUACCUAGGCGACGAUCCCUAGCUGGUCUGAGAGGAUGAUCAGCCACACUGGGACUGAGACACGGCCCAG